GACGAACGCUGGCGGCGUGCUUAACACAUGCCAGUCGAACGGAAAGGCCCUGCUUUUGUGGGGUGCUCGAGUGGCGAACGGGUGAGUAACACGUGAGUAACCUGCCCUUGACUUUGGGAUAACUUCAGGAAACUGGGGCUAAUACCGGAUAGGAGCUCCUGCUGCAUGGUGGGGGUUGGAAAGUUUCGGCGGUUGGGGAUGGACUCGCGGCUUAUCAGCUUGUUGGUGGGGUAGUGGCUUACCAAGGCUUUGACGGGUAGCCGGCCUGAGAGGGUGACCGGCCACACUGGGACUGAGAUACGGCCCAGACUCCUACGGGAGGCAGCAGUGGGGAAUAUUGCACAAGGGGCGGAAGCCUGAUGCAGCAACGCCGCGUGCGGGAUGACGGCCUUCGGGUUGUAAACCGCUGUCGCCUGUGACGAAGCGUGAGUGACGGUAAUGGGUAAAGAAGCACCGGCUAACUACGUG
rnacentral:rRNA from 1 species